GGUUGUGUGGUAUAGUGGUUGAAAGUGUGUUGGACCAGGACUUGGGGAGAUCAGGGUUCAAAUCCCCACUCGGCCA